CUAAUACAUGCAAGUCGAGCGAACGGACGAGAAGCUUGCUUCUCUGAUGUUAGCGGCGGACGGGUGAGUAACACGUGGAUAACCUACCUAUAAGACUGGGAUAACUUCGGGAAACCGGAGCUAAUACCGGAUAAUAUUUUGAACCGCAUGGUUUAAAAGUGAAAGACGGUCUUGCUGUCACUUAUAGAUGGAUCCGCGCUGCAUUAGCUAGUUGGUAAGGUAACGGCUUACCAAGGCAACGAUGCAUAGCCGACCUGAGAGGGUGAUCGGCCACACUGGAACUGAGACACGGUCCAGACUCCUACGGGAGGCAGCAGUAGGGAAUCUUCCGCAAUGGGCGAAAGCCUGACGGAGCAACGCCGCGUGAGUGAUGAAGGUCUUCGGAUCGUAAAACUCUGUUAUUAGGGAAGAACAUAUGUGUAAGUAACUGUGCACAUCUUGACGGUACCUAAUCAGAAAGCCACGGCUAACUACGUGCCAGCAGCCGCGGUAAUACGUAGGUGGCAAGCGUUAUCCGGAAUUAUUGGGCGUAAAGCGCGCGUAGGCGGUUUUUUAAGUCUGAUGUGAAAGCCCACGGCUCAACCGUGGAGGGUCAUUGGAAACUGGAAAACUUGAGUGCAGAAGAGGAAAGUGGAAUUCCAUGUGUAGCGGUGAAAUGCGCAGAGAUAUGGAGGAACACCAGUGGCGAAGGCGACUUUCUGGUCUGUAACUGACGCUGAUGUGCGAAAGCGUGGGGAUCAAACAGGAUUAGAUACCCUGGUAGUCCACGCCGUAAACGAUGAGUGCUAAGUGUUAGGGGGUUUCCGCCCCUUAGUGCUGCAGCUAACGCAUUAAGCACUCCGCCUGGGGAGUACGACCGCAAGGUUGAAACUCAAAGGAAUUGACGGGGACCCGCACAAGCGGUGGAGCAUGUGGUUUAAUUCGAAGCAACGCGAAGAACCUUACCAAAUCUUGACAUCCUUUGACAACUCUAGAGAUAGAGCCUUCCCCUUCGGGGGACAAAGUGACAGGUGGUGCAUGGUUGUCGUCAGCUCGUGUCGUGAGAUGUUGGGUUAAGUCCCGCAACGAGCGCAACCCUUAAGCUUAGUUGCCAUCAUUAAGUUGGGCACUCUAAGUUGACUGCCGGUGACAAACCGGAGGAAGGUGGGGAUGACGUCAAAUCAUCAUGCCCCUUAUGAUUUGGGCUACACACGUGCUACAAUGGACAAUACAAAGGGCAGCGAAACCGCGAGGUCAAGCAAAUCCCAUAAAGUUGUUUUCAGUUUGGAUUGUAGUCUGCAACUCGACUACAUGAAGCUGGAAUCGCUAGUAAUCGUAGAUCAGCAUGCUACGGUGAAUACGUUUCCGGGUCUUGUACACACCGCCCGUCACACCACGAGAGUUUGUAACACCCGAAGCCGGUGGAGUAAC
rnacentral:rRNA from 1 species